UUUUUCACAUAAGCUUAGAUUCAUUUGAUGAAGAUAGAACUCUUCUGGGCAUUUUGAAUUUAAGGGAGAUACGACUGGGGUUCUGGUCUGACAUAUCCAUUCUGGUUUAGUUGCUAAAGCAGAGAAGUGUUAGCGGAUUGAAAGCAGAAGAUAUUAAAUGAAUCUCCCUUAAAAUUCUACAUGGUCAAUCCCUUUUCCCAUUCCUUUUCUGCCGAGUUUAACGUCUUUUCUUGCUAUUGUUGUUGCUUCUAGGUUUUCCCUCACUGCAGGCUGAUGGAUUGGCAAAUGCUAGUUUACAGAGCACUCCGCCCCCACCUCCGCCCAAAAGCAAACCCUACGAGAACAGCAACCCGAGGAAUUCUGUGGAGGUUGCUCCACCACUACCCACCAGACGUGAAGCCAAACCUCCCCCCCCACCCCCAAAAACCAGAAAAUCCAGCGUUGUCUCUUCAGAGCAAGGACUGCAGUGAGGAUCAUCACUUGCUGGCGUAGCAGCAAGCGCCUAGAGUGAAACGGCUGCUUUCUUUCACUGACACACCGGGGCUCUCUGACCCGAAAGACUCGCGAUCUCACCUGCCAUUCCAUUCACCCCCCUCAGAGAUUUCUCUGGGAAAUACCAAAAGGAACUAUUGUUGUGACUCUAUUCCCUAACCUCUGGUUUACCUUUCCAGUACUGAGACACUAAUCACAGAGCAGGAGGAGUCGUCCUACUGGAAUUCUUGGCUUUGUCUGUCCUGAGUUGGUUUUGUUUCACUGAUGCAAUUGCAGCGGCUCAUUCCUAGUGUAAAUCUGUCACGGUAGUGAUUUGCACCAGUGUUUGGAACAAGGUAAGCCACACCAGGGUGAGAAGUGCCCUGCAGGAUUUUCACAGGGACUUUGCAGCCGUGCUGGCGCAGGGGUCCCGUCCCGGAGCGUCACCAAGCCCCGCUUGUGUGAAGUGAAGCAGAUCCCAGCCGCUCCGGGCUGUGAAGUGUCGGCUCCUGAGACGUCAGGUGCCCGUGUAUGAUGUGCAGUCUCCUAAGAUUUUUGAUUGCAGGCAGAGACCUGAGCUCUGUUAGCGGAACGAGAACUCUUUUUUUUCCUGCUAGUCGUCAUAUGUAUUUAGGAUGAAGUGCAGACCUUCUGCCUUCCACCGUCUCUUCGAGUAGUGGCAGUUGCUCGCUCCCAAUGGAGAGUUUAGGUUCACCAGUACUUUGUCAUAAUUUCACUGUUGAUUCUGGUUUUAACACUAUAGAGCAGUUGAUACUCCUCCCUGAAUUAUGUUACCUCCUUGGUUUGUGCUUGCAUCUGGGACCUGGUACGAUAUUUCAUCUUUGUGCCUUUUAGUAGGGUGUAAAAAGUUGCGUCUCCUGUGAAUGUGUGAGAAGAAUAGAAGCUGCGUUGAUACCAGCACUGUGCUGGUACCAGCGACUUGGAGAGGGUGGAGUAUGCAAAACUAGUUACACAUCCUGACCUCAACAACAGUCUGAUAGCUACUGAAACCUUUACUUUG
rnacentral:lncRNA from 1 species